rnacentral:rRNA from 1 species
GACAGAGGCCUCAAGCGUUAGGCGGAAUCACUGGGCUUAAAGCGUGUGUAGGCGGAUCGUUAAGUGUCUUGUGAAAUCCCACGGCUCACCCGUGGAACUGCUGGGCAUACUGGCGAUCUUGGGCCAACUAGGGGCAACUGGAACAAGCGGUGGAGCGGUGAAAUGCGUAGAUAUCGAGAGGAACACCUGCGGCGAAGGCGGGUUGCUGGGCUGACACUGACGCUGAGGCGCGAAAGCUAGGGGAGCGAACGGG